GUUGUUACUGCUUUUCCUUUAAGAAAUAUAUGGCAUAAACAUGAAUUAUCAGGAAGAUUAGCAAAAUGGGCUAUAGAAUUAAGUGAGUACGAAAUAAUUUACCAACCUCGAACUGCUAUCAAAUCUCAAGUAAAACAUGAAUUAUCAGGAAGAUUAGAAAAAUGGGCUAUAGAAUUAAGUGAGUACGAAAUAAUUUACCAACCUCGAACUGCUAUCAAUCUCAAGUACUCGCUAAUUAAAACAUUAAUUCGAGCGGGAUAUUACUGGCCUAAAAUGGAAGAAGAAGCAAUUGAUUUCGUAUCAGUAUGACAAACAUCUUUUACAGCUCUUUGUCCUUUCCUUAUCCAAUAUCAGCAUUUUAAGCUAAGGACAACGGCAAAAAGUCUAGAAGGUUCUGAUAUUAGCCUAUGUGAAAGUCUAUUUUUACCCUUCUAGUUACUUCAUAUUUCAGCUUUGUCCUGAAUUCUUUUAAUUCAAUUAGGUCCCUCUAAGUUUCUACUGAUUUACACACUAAGGCAAAAAAUACAAACCUAGAAAGGAUCAAAAAUUUGAAUCAAAAUGCCUAACAGAAUCAUGUGGCUGCAAUCUAAAUCUAAAACUAAUAAAUCAAUAAACAAAAAUGUUUACCUAACUAAACCUAAACAAGAAUUGAGUUUAAUGACUAAUACAC
rnacentral:lncRNA from 1 species